rnacentral:rRNA from 1 species
UGGGCGGCAGGCUUAACACAUGCAAGUCGAACGCCCCGCAAGGGGAGUGGCAGACGGGUGAGUAACGCGUGGGAACAUACCCUUUCCUGCGGAAUAGCUCCGGGAAACUGGAAUUAAUACCGCAUACGCCCUACGGGGGAAAGAUUUAUCGGGGAAGGAUUGGCCCGCGUUGGAUUAGCUAGUUGGUGGGGUAAAGGCCUACCAAGGCGACGAUCCAUAGCUGGUCUGAGAGGAUGAUCAGCCACAUUGGGACUGAGACACGGCCCAAACUCCUACGGGAGGCAGCAGUGGGGAAUAUUGGACAAUGGGCGCAAGCCUGAUCCAGCCAUGCCGCGUGAGUGAUGAAGGCCUUAGGGUUGUAAAGCUCUUUCACCGAUGAAGAUAAUGACGGUAGUCGGAGAAGAAGCCCCGGCUAACUUCGUGCCAGCAGCCGCGGUAAUACGAAGGGGGCUAGCGUUGUUCGGAAUUACUGGGCGUAAAGCGCACGUAGGCGGAUAUUUAAGUCAGGGGUGAAAUCCCGCAGCUCAACUGCGGAACUGCCUUUGAUACUGGGUAUCUUGAGUAUGGAAGAGGUAAGUGGAAUUCCGAGUGUAGAGGUGAAAUUCGUAGAUAUUCGGAGGAACACCAGUGGCGAANGCGGCUUACUGGUCCAUUACUGACGCUGAGGUGCGAAAGCGUGGGGAGCAAACAGGAUUANAUACCCUGGUAGUCCACGCCNUAAACGAUGAAUGUUAGCCGUCGGGCNAGUAU